rnacentral:rRNA from 1 species
UACUAGAGUAGCACUCGCAUAUCAAUAAGCGGAGGAAAAGAAACUAACUAGGAUUCCCUUAGUAACGGCGAGUGAAGCGGGAAGAGCUCAAAUUUGAAAUCUUCAAGGUUUUACCUUGACGAAUUGUAGUUUAAAGAAGUGUUUUCUGUUGGAGUUUUGGUAAAAGUUCUUUGGAAUAGGACAUCAUAGAGGGUGAGAAUCCCGUAUUUGACCAUUAUUUUCAGCUGUGUGAUACACUUUCAAAGAGUCGGAUUGUUUGGGAAUGCAGUCCAAAAUGGGUGGUAAAUUUCAUCUAAAGCUAAAUAUUGGCGAGAGACCGAUAGCGAACAAGUACCGUGAGGGAAAGAUGAAAAGAACUUUGAAAAGAGAGUUAAACAGUACGUGAAAUUGUCAAAAGGGAAGCGUUUGACACCAGUGUUGUUUUCUCGAAAAUCAAUUAACGAAGGGUUUAUUUUGAUAGUUAUGACUUCAAUCGCUUUCUUCAUCUCUUUAUGUACUUUCUUAAUGCACUUUUCGUUUAACAAGUCAACAUCAGUUUCUUUUGUUGUAAAAGGGUAUGAGGAAGGUGGCUUUCUUUUCGGAGAAGGUGUUUAUAGCCUUGUACCUCUGCAAUCGGAGAGAUUGAGGUCUACAGCGUAGAUCCUUCGGGGUUAGAUACAUUUGUGCUAAGUUAUAGCCUUUCAUAGACAACUUGUCGACUAUGAUCAGUCAUGUAGCUUACUCGCUUAUGCUAUUUUACCUACGCUUAGGAUGUUGAAGAUGUAGCACAUCAU